rnacentral:lncRNA from 1 species
UUUUAGAAUGUAUUAGAAACUAAUAUUUUAUACAAAGUCUUUUACUAUUUUGUAGAUAUGUAAUGCAAUCAAUUGCAGUAAUAUUUGACAACCAUGCAAUAUUUCAUGUUUCUUUAUUACAGAAGUUGCAAGGCUUCCCUAUACCACAUUGGCCUUCUCUUCACUGUGCUUCUUAGCUUAUUUUACAUCAAGCAAAAGCUCUUUCUCUUCCUCCUCGGCCAAUCGCUAUCUAUGCUUCUUCAAUUUGUUAAAUCUCUUCAAUUAAAAAUAUAGUCAUGCCUCAAGAACUUUUAGGGUAGUGUUGUCCAUGGAUUUAAGAAGGAGCAAAUUUUGGUUAGCUUGACCCACUGCCUUCAAUAUCUACACCUCCACUAUAUUAUUUGUAGCCUACACUUGUCUAUACAAUGCACCUUUUCUUUGCUUUGAUUGCAUCUAGUUGUCUUUGGUUGUCUUAGUAAUCCAUGAUUGAUCUUGAAAUACCUUCUUUAUGUCUAUAAUCUUUGUGUGUUCUUACUUUCAUAUCAUCUCACUUGAUUGCCUUGCAUUUUUUUCCAUCCUAUCAAUGCUAUCGAUCUUUGAGGCAAAUUGUAUAGGUGCCUUCUUCUUCAAAGUUAGAGGCUUCACCUACAACCACCUAUCAGCGUAUUUUAGAUGCUCCUUCAUCAAAACCCAAUAAUAUUUGUAUUCAAAAUUUGUCCCCUUUUAACUCUUUUGCUUGUAGAACUUGUGUAUAAGGCUGAAGAUAUUGAGUGUAUUUGUGCCACUUUUGCAAACAUUUUAUAAU